rnacentral:rRNA from 1 species
GAUGAACGCUGGCGGCGUGCCUAAUACAUGCAAGUCGAGCGAACAGACGAGGAGCUUGCUCCUCUGACGUUAGCGGCGGACGGGUGAGUAACACGUGGAUAACCUACCUUUAAGACUGGGAUAACUUCGGGAAACCGGAGCUAAUACCGGAUAAUAUAUUGAACCGCAUGGUUCAAUAGUGAAAGACGGUUUUGCUGUCACUUAUAGAUGGAUCCGCGCCGCAUUAGCUAGUUGGUAAGGUAACGGCUUACCAAGGCGACGAUGCGUAGCCGACCUGAGAGGGUGAUCGGCCACACUGGAACUGAGACACGGUCCAGACUCCUACGGGAGGCAGCAGUAGGGAAUCUUCCGCAAUGGGCGAAAGCCUGACGGAGCAACGCCGCGUGAGUGAUGAAGGUCUUCGGAUCGUAAAACUCUGUUAUUAGGGAAGAACAAAUGUGUAAGUAACUAUGCACGUCUUGACGGUACCUAAUCAGAAAGCCACGGCUAACUACGUG